UCCUCAUAAGAGGCACACCGGGGGCUCCCCUUAGAUCCUGCAGUUUCUCUUCUCCAGGGCUCCUUGGCUGGAUAUGAGAGAAUGAGAACAAUCGCCAGUUUGGGCUCUCUUCUUGGGCCGAGAGCACAGUCCGAGGUUCAACAAGCUCCCUCCUGGGUCUUUCUGAUAGAACUUUUUAUAGAGCUCAAGCUUGGCGAGCCUGGCCGACGCUGCCAUCUGCAGGGAGCGGGGAAGGGUCUGUCGUGUGUCCGCGGGCUCUGGUCAUUUGCUAAGUGGCUGGGCUGUGUCGUGUUCUGGUGCGUUCUCCUGUGUGAUCGCAUGCACAGCCUUCCGGCUCACGUUCCAGCCGAGGUGGGGCUGGGCACGCACAGGGCCUCUAGUUCCCUCUUGGUCUCUUUCCACGAGGACAUCAGGGCUGCCAGUGCGGUCAGGCCCAUCUGUUUUCUGCAGCAGAGCAUGUUGUUGCAUUGUCUCAGGGUGGGAGUGGCGAGAGGAAGGAGGCGUGAUGGGGUUGGGACAUGAGGAGACAGCAGCCAGUGCGCCUCCGCUCAGGCUGGUCCGCGGCCAAACUGAUGGGAGGCCCAUUGGAGGAUCCAGAAUUCAGAGUCCGGGAAAGGCGGCUGUGGAGUCUCCGGGACAGGAGGCAGGGCUGGCGCUGGGGUCUCAGCCUCCCUUCCGUGCAGGCUCUGUUCCAGGAGUCCAUCUGGCUGCACAGAAAUACACACGGAAUGAGGCUCAGCCUCUGACCUCGCUCUGCCUGCGUCCAAAACGGCCGGUAGGAGCUUCGAUCAAGGGCAGGGGACCAUACAGUGUCUACACCAGCAACUACUGCGGAAGAGAUAAGCAGCCCCUGGCGAUCACCGCUCAAUAUUCUAUAUGAAUUUGACAACUCCAGGUGCCUCAUGUACCUGCAGAAGUAAC